AGGUGACGCCGACGCCGCGGCCCGGACCGUCCCCCGGGGGUCGCGUCGGUCAAACGCUAACGCUUGGAGGCCGCGUCCGAUCUGGGAUGUUCCCUGGCCAUUCCUGUGACCGUGGAGGGGGGCAAAUAAAGCCGGUCCACUUUCGUUCUGACACAUUGUUUUCAGCAACAGAUAUUUCCGAAAGUCCUUGCCUUGGUUCAAAUGAACAUUCCUGGAGGUCUUGAUUAGAGGAAUGCAACAGUCAACUGUGGACAACUGCACAGGGCCACAAACGUGAUGGGAACGGUGAGAAUAAAUGAUGGUCGCAAGGUUUCACCAUGGUUGAACCAUGUCCCAUGUGCUCCAAAUACUUCACAUAAGCUAAUGUAUGUCGCUGCAUCCUG